rnacentral:rRNA from 1 species
UACAGAGGUCCCAAGCGUUGUUCGGAUUCACUGGGCGUAAAGGGUGCGUAGGCGGUUGGGUAAGUCUGAUGUGAAAUCUCACAGCUUAACUGUGAAACUGCAUUGGAUACUAUCCGGCUAGAGGAAUGGAGGGGAGACUGGAAUGACUUGGUGUAGCAGUGAAAUGCGUAGAUAUCAAGUGGAACACCAGUGGCGAAGGCGAGUCUCUGGACAUUUCCUGACGCUGAGGCACGAAAGCCAGGGGAGCAAACGGG